rnacentral:lncRNA from 1 species
GCUGGGUCAUGUGGCAUGAGGGAGCCAGUGUUAAUGCAGCCGGUCCUCUCUGUUUCUUCCUCCGUAGGAAACCGUGCGCUUGUAUCCCUUCCAGAUACACAGCGUUGCCCUUUCAACGUUUGCAUCACUGAUUGGCCCGUUUGGAGGCUUCUUCGCCAGUGGAUUCAAAAGAGCUUUCAAAAUCAAGGAUUUCGCAAACACUAUCCCCGGGCACGGCGGGAUAAUGGACAGGUUCGACUGUCAGUAUCUGAUGGCAACUUUCGUGCACGUGUACAUCACGAGUUUCGUAAGGGGUCCGAAUCCCAGCAAAGUGCUCCAGCAGCUGUUGGUACUUCAGCCAGAGCAGCAGUUAAAUAUCUACAGAACCCUGAAGAUUCACCUCACCGAGAAGGGGAUCCUGCAGCCCACCUUGAAGAUGUAGCUGCCUGAGGACAGACUGCCCGGGAGGAGCCCACAGGACAGCUCUGAGUGAAGUCAUGCACUGAGCCAGCAUGGAGCUGAAAGCUUGAUGGACGCGGCUGUUGCCGAUAUGAAUGUUUUUUUCUCUGAUAAGACUGUGAAUAUUUAACAAACAUAUAUGAUCUUAGCGAUGAGCGUGUGGCGGACGCCGGCCCAGGAAAGGUCCCGCACUCCUCUAAGACGCGUUUUCCGACGUUAACUGCUCUGCCCUCACUUACUGAGUUCCAUGACUUAGGAGACUUGUGUUUUAAAGAGUCCAGCACCAUGCAGCAAGGCCUCAGGGUCGUGCCUGGCAGUGUGACCUUUUGCAGGGACACUGGCCUCUGCACCAGGAGCCGCCUCUUCUGUGUCGCUAACGCUCCGCAGGCGCCAUGCAAAGCCAGGUCUCCAGGGCCGCCUCCUCUUCUAAGCUCAAGUAUUGCUGAGGGCCGAGUUAGAUUAAAAAAGAAAGAAAAAGAACGAUUGUCCACUUUUCUCUCUUUCUUCCCCCUCUCCUUGUUUGUUUGUUCAUGAUGCUGGGGUGGCCCCCAGGUCACACACCAGGCAGGUGCCCACUUCCGGGCUGCUCUCCAGCUGACUGCUCCUCUCAGAGAAGUAGUCAUCUGCCAAGGGCAAGCACCCUGGCGUUAAGCACUUUCAAAAUUCAGAAGCUAGAGGCUGAAGCCUUCCUGAUUUGUUUAAAAAGAAGGCAUCAGAAUCCAUUUCUGAUGAACCUUUUGGAGAAACACAACCAACUUCCUCAGAGACACAGAAGUGGGUGCUGAGUUAAGAGAGCAGCAUGGGGCUCCCACUGGGAAUCCCUCACUCGGGGGCUGGGGCAGGGCGGUGCCUCUGAGGCUGCAGAAACAGGUACCCCUCCACCUCCACCCCUGGUCUGGUGGGAGCUUCUGCUUUCCUUGGUUCCCUGAGUCCUGGUUGGGGUGGUGAGGCCUGCAUGGCAGGCAGGGCUUCCUUCCAGCCUGCUCUCCACCUCAACGGGCAGGAAGAGAGUUCUGCCCAAGGACCCCGACCAGGGCCAGCUCCCUGGUGGUAACUAACCUCUGUCAAAUUGCUCUUCCCGCUAUGUCACAAAAUCCAAGAAUAAAAAACAAGCAGAAAUAAUAGCCA